AAUAGAUACCCAGGUAGUCCACGCCGUAAACGAUGAGUGCUAAGUGUUAGGGGGUUUCCGCCCCUUAGUGCUGCAGCUAACGCAUUAAGCACUCCGCCUGGGGAGUACGGUCGCAAGACUGAAACUCAAAGGAAUUGACGGGGGCCCGCACAAGCGGUGGAGCAUGUGGUUUAAUUCGAAGCAACGCGAAGAACCUUACCAGGUCUUGACAUCCCAUUGACCACUAUGGAGACAUAGUUUUCCCUUCGGGGACAACGGUGACAGGUGGUGCAUGGUUGUCGUCAGCUCGUGUCGUGAGAUGUUGGGUUAAGUCCCGCGACGAGCGCAACCCUUGUUCUUAGUUGCCAUCAUUUAGUUGGGCACUCUAAGGAGACUGCCGGUGACAAACCGGAGGAAGGUGGGGAUGACGUCAAAUCAUCAUGCCCCUUAUGACCUGGGCUACACACGUGCUACAAUGGACGGUACAAACGGUUGCCAACCCGCGAGGGGAGCUAAUCCGAUAAAACCGUUCUCAGUUCGGAUUGUAGGCUGCAACUCACCUACA
rnacentral:rRNA from 1 species